ensembl:lncRNA novel transcript
CAUUUUGUUAGGCCUUCUCAAGUGGGAAUCAGGAACGCUGCUGUGCUCUAGAGAUGUUUUGUUCUUCCUGUAGGGCUGAAGCAGUGCCUACUCGAUAGAAUCAGUCAUCAUGCAAAUAAAAGCCACCUGAGUCAAAGGCAAAGCCAGAGUGCAGCUUGGAGCAAAGAAGUUAAAAGCAUAUUGGCAGAGGAAGAGCCCUGGCAUUCCAGCAGGAGCUAACAGGAAAAAGAAAAUCAAUGGCAGUAGCCCUGACACAGCCACUUCUGGUGGUUACCACUCACCUGGGGAUUCAGCAACAGGUAUCUACGGGGAGGGCCGUGCAUCCUCUACUACCCUGGAGGAUCUGGAGAGCCAGUACCAAGAACUAGCAGUGGCCCUGGAUUCAAGCUCCGCAAUAAUCAGUCAACUCACUGAAAACAUCAAUUCACUGGUUCGCACAUCUAAGGAGGAGAAGAAGCAUGAGAUACAUCUGGUACAGAAGCUUGGGAGGAG